rnacentral:rRNA from 1 species
AUUGAACGCUGGCGGCAGGCCUAACACAUGCAAGUCGAGCGGUAGCACAGGGAGCUUGCUCCUGGGUGACGAGCGGCGGACGGGUGAGUAGUGUCUGGGAAACUGCCUGAUGGAGGGGGAUAACUACUGGAAACGGUAGCUAAUACCGCAUAACGUCGCAAGACCAAAGAGGGGGACCUUCGGGCCUCUUGCCAUCAGAUGUGCCCAGAUGGGAUUAGCUAGUAGGUGGGGUAACGGCUCACCUAGGCGACGAUCCCUAGCUGGUCUGAGAGGAUGACCAGCCACACUGGAACUGAGACACGGUCCAGACUCCUACGGGAGGCAGCAGUGGGGAAUAUUGCACAAUGGGCGCAAGCCUGAUGCAGCCAUGCCGCGUGUAUGAAGAAGGCCUUCGGGUUGUAAAGUACUUUCAGCGGGGAGGAAGGCGAUAAGGUUAAUAACCUUGUCGAUUGACGUUACCCGCAGAAGAAGCACCGGCUAACUCCGUGCCAGCCGCCGCAGUAA